rnacentral:rRNA from 1 species
UCAGUCGACUCCUACGGGGAGGCAGCAGUGGGGGAAUAUUGCACAAUGGGCGCAAGCCUGAUGCAGCCAUGCCGCGUGUAUGAAGAAGGCCUUCGGGUUGUAAAGUACUUUCAGCAGUGAGGAAGGUGGGUAUGUUAAUAGCAUAUUCAUUUGACGUUAGCUGCAGAAGAAAGCACCGGCUAACUCCGUGCCAGCAGCCGCGGUAAUACGGAGGGUGCGAGCGUUAAUCGGAAUUACUGGGCGUAAAGCGCAUGCAGGUGGUUUGUUAAGUCAGAUGUGAAAGACCCGGGGCUCAACCUCGGAAUUGCAUUUGAAACUGGCAAACUAGAGUACUGUAGAGGGGGGUAGGAAUUUCAGGUGUAGCGGUGAAAUGCGUAGAGAUCUGAAGGAAUACCGGUGGCGAAGGCGGCCCCCUGGACAGAUACUGACACUCAGAUGCGAAAGCGUGGGGAGCAAACAGGAUUAGAUACCCUGGUAG